GCGCCCGUAGCUCAGCCCGGAUAGAGCGCCGGACUACGAAUCCGUCGGCCGCAGGUCCGAAUCCUGCCGGGCGCACCA
rnacentral:tRNA from 1 species